ensembl:snRNA U6 U6 spliceosomal RNA
AUGGUCACUUCAGCAGCACAUAUACUAAAAAUUGGAAUGAUACAGAGAAGAAUAGCAUGGCCUCUGCGCAAGGAUGAUACAUAUUUGUGAAGCAUAUUUUU